CAUACCUAUUCGAAGGGAUAGGGUCGGUUUGGCCGGAUUUCACACAGGUGUUGCAUGGCUGUCGUCAGCUCGUGUCGUGAGAUGUUGGGUUAAGUCCCGCAACGAGCGCAACCCUCAUCCUUAGUUACCAUCAGGUUAUGCUGGGGACUUUAAGGAAACUGCCAGUGAUAAACUGGAGGAAGGUGGGGAUGAUGUCAAGUCAUCAUGGCCCUUAUGGAGUGGGCUACACACGUGCUACAAUGGUGAUUACAAUGGGCUGCAAGGUCGCAAGGCUGAGCUAAUCCUAAAAAAUCAUCUCAGUUCGGAUUGUUCUCUGCAACUCGAGAGCAUGAAGUUGGAAUCGCUAGUAAUCGUGGAUCAGCAUGCCACGGUGAAUACGUUCUCGGGUCUUGUACACACUGCCCGUCACACCAUGGGAAUUGGUUUCACUCGAAGCU
rnacentral:rRNA from 1 species